rnacentral:lncRNA from 1 species
AACCUCAAUUACAUCAAAACAAAUAACAAAUAAUAAAAAUGCAUAGAACUUAUCUCUAUUAUUACCCAUUUUGAUCUAACUAUCUGAACUUUGAAAAAUUUGAGUUUGCUAAAUAAUCUUUUAAUUUAUUUGAUUUAAGCUAGUUAAUAAGUAUUUAACUUCAAAAUUUGAAUGUGUCACUUAUUUAUCUUUGCAGACUUAAUUAACAUAUUCG